UCAAGGGGGCCUGAUCCAAAGUCCAUUGAAGUCAAUAGGAGGCCUUCCACGACUUCAGAGGGCUUUGAGUCAGGCCCUAGUUGU
rnacentral:pre_miRNA from 1 species